AACGAACGCUGGCGGCAUGCCUAACACAUGCAAGUCGAACGAGACCUUCGGGUCUAGUGGCGCACGGGUGCGUAACGCGUGGGAACCUGCCCUUAGGUUCGGAAUAACUCCCCGAAAGGGGUGCUAAUACCGGAUAAUGUCUUCGGACCUAAGAUUUAUCGCCUUUGGAUGGGCCCGCGUUGGAUUAGCUAGUUGGUAGGGUAAAAGCCUACCAAGGCGACGAUCCAUAGCUGGUCUGAGAGGAUGAUCAGCCACACUGGGACUGAGACACGGCCCAGACCCCUACGGGAGGCAGCAGUGGGGAAUAUUGGACAAUGGGCGAAAGCCUGAUCCAGCAAUGCCGCGUGAGUGAUGAAGGCCUUAGGGUUGUAAAGCUCUUUUGCCCGGGAUGAUAAUGACAGUACCGGGAGAAUAAGCUCCGGCUAACUCCGUG
rnacentral:rRNA from 1 species